GGCUCAAUGGUCUAGUAGUAUGAUUCGCGCUUCGGGAUGACAAUUCAGUGCUCAUGUGAGCAUCUCUGUGCGAGGUCCCGAGUUCAACUCUCGGUUGAGCCC